UCUCCGUAGGUGAACCUGCGGAGGGAUCAUUACAGAGUUCAUGCCCUAACGGGUAGAUCUCCCACCCUAUGUUAUCAUCACUUUGUUGCUUUGGCGGGCCGUCAGGCCUCGGCUUGGCUACCGGCUCUCGCUGGUAAGCGCCCGCCAGAGAACCCCAAACCCUGAAUAUCAGUGUCGUCUGAGUACUAUAUAAUAGUUAAAACUUCCAACAACGGAUCUCUUGGUUCUG
rnacentral:misc_RNA from 1 species